GAUGAAGAACGUAGCAAAAUGCGAUACUUGGUGUGAAUUGCAGAAUCCCGUGAACCAUCGAGUUUUUGAACACAAGUUGCGCCCGAAGCCUUUUGGCCGAGGGCACGUCUGCCUGGGCGUCACGCAUCGCGUCGCCCCCCCACAAUUCUCCGUAAAGGGAACUUGUGUUUUGGGGGCGGAUAUUGGUCUCCCGUGCUCAUGGCGUGGUUGGCCGAAAUAGGAGUCCUUUCGAUGGACGCACGAACUAGUGGUGGUCGUAAAAACCCUCGUCUUUUGUUUCGUGCUGUUGCUCGCAAGGUAAACUCUUUAAAAACCCCAAUGUGUCGUCUCUUGACGACGCUUCGACCGCGACCCCAGGUCAGGCGGGACUACCCGCUGAGUUUAAGCAUAUCAAUAAGCGGAGGA
rnacentral:misc_RNA from 1 species